CUCCCAUGAAACAGCUGAGGUCUGGGAGGUGCAGGGACCUCCCCCCACCCUGGGUGGCUAGAGAGCCUUUCCCGCUACUGCUUCUUCUUCUUUGUUUUUUUUUUUAAUUGGAGUAGAGUUGAUUUACAAUGUUUUGUUAGUUUCAGGUGUAUAGCAAAGUGAAUCAGUUAUACAUAUACAUACAUCCACUCUUUUUUUAGAUUCUUUUCCCGUUUAGGCCAUUACAGAGCAUUGAGUAGAAUUCCCUGUGCUAUACAGCAGGUCCCUAUUAUCUAUUUUAUAUAUAGUACAUUGGGAUUGACAGCUCUUGUUUUUCAUCCUUCCCGCAUGCCAAGUCCGGCUGCUGAAGGAGGAGAAGAGCACCUUGGAGAGCGACAUGGACCCUGAGCCUCCAGCGGACGUGCCCUGCAGACCCGCCUACAGCCUCCAGAGGCCUGCCCUGCGGAGACCAAGGGGUCGGGGUGUGAUCUCAGCUACUCCCCUGCCCCUGCCCCGGCAGCCCCACAAAACCCCUUGGCCUGGACGGAGGAGCUGGUGCACACACCCCCUGCAGCGGAGGGCAGGUUCUGAAGCUGGUGCUCUCCAUCUUCCCAGGCUGGAAAAUCUCAGGAGGUUCCAGGGAAAAAGGCAGUUCCCCCAGAUAUGCCCACACCCAGCAGCUGAGGCCUGAACAGAGCUCAGAUUUCAGCCAUGAGAGUAACUGUCUCUCUAACUCCUGGCACCAGGCUGGGCUGCUUGGGCCCGCCUCCUCAGGGACCUUCACAGCUGCUUCCUGAGUAGUUGGGGAAGAGGUCACCUCUGAGGUUACCGGCUUCCCUGAGGUCCCUCCACUAAGUGGACUGAACCCCGAGGUCUCCCUCCUGCCCCACCCCAGUCCGCUCAGUGACAUCUCCCAGCACCUUCUCCGGGCGGGUGUGGCCCUCAGCACUCGUCAUGCAUGUUCAUCCUCACAGCGAGCCUGAGAAGGAGGUAGAGUUGUUACCCUGUUUUAUGGAGGAAUAUUCUGAGAACCUUGAGAGGCUGAGCCACUUGUCAGGGUCGGGCACCAGGGAGCGGGGCCUCUGAGUUUCCAAAAUGCUUAGACAGCCUGUGACACAUUCUUUUUAACAAGAAGUCCGAACUGUGCUGCCUCUCCACCCCAGACCCCUCGGUCCCUGAGGAUCAGCUCCACACACGCACGUGCAGACGUGCAUGCACACGCACACCUGCAGGGGAGCCCACCCUCCGCCCACCCACAGGCGGCCAUUCCCCAGGCUCCGGGGAGCAAAUUACAUCACAGGAAAUCGCAGUGUGAGGGACGUCCCCAGUGGAAGGUAUGAGAACACAUGUGGCAGAGCGGCGGGCCAGGCCCAGCUGCUGCAGAUGUCUGCCACAGCUGGAGGGCCACCAGGCGCAGGGCCCGGUGCGUCUCGUCAGGGGCAGGGCCUCAGCUGAGGGUCCACAGAGCCAUAGCUGCACAGGCCUUGCAGCCAGCAUGGGCCCUGUUGCUUCUCCACUCGGGAGUGCCCCUCCAGGGCAUGGGGGCUUCAAGGCAGUGUUUCCUCAUCUGUACAAUGGGGAGAAGACCAGCACCAUGACCUUCAGUGAACGGAGCCCACGCAGGUAAGGGCCUCACGGUGCCCGGCUUGGAGGCGCGAAGAACGAUGUCGAUGACAACGGGAAACUGGGCCUCUGCCUUCAAUGAGCUGACGGCCUGCGGAGGGGGGCGAAACUGACGUGCCUGAAGCCGCGACCACUCAGUGCCCGGGCCGGACAGGUGAGCCCCCACCUCUCUUAGCAGAGAGAAGGCGAACAAGUCAAUAAGGAAGAUACCGGCCGACGCUGAGGGGCCGGCGCAGAGAAGGGGGCGGACAGGCUAAGGGGACAGAGAUUGCUGGGAGGCGUGAUUCACACAGAAUGGCCGGGAGUGCUCGGGGAGGGCCUCUCUGGAGAAGCGACAGCUGGGCUCAAGCUGAAGAGAGCGAUAAAGCCAGAGGUGAGGAGAAAGGGGACCCGACAAAAGAAAAGUACAGGGGCCAGAGGCCAGAAGGACGGGCGGCAGUGUAGUCCCAGGGAAGGAAGUGGCUGAAGAAGGAGAGGGGCCAGGAGGCCACGAAGGGCCCUGGGGGCCAAUGGAAGGAAUGCGGAAUUUAUUCUACCGGCGACAGGAAGCUACUAAGAGACACGCAUGAAGGUGCAUCAGGAUCGGACUGUCUUUUGGAAAGUUAGCUCUGGCUAAUGUGUGCGUGAGUGGGGGAGGCGCUGGGGGCGCCCAGAGGGGAGCAGGGAGGCCAGGGAGAGGCUUCCGCGCUGCUCUCGGACAGAGGUGGUGGUGCUGUCCCCUCCCUUUCUUCGCCCGCCCCCCUCCUGUGAGGAUGCCAGAGUUGCCCGGGCCUGACCCCUCAGGCAGGCUCUCAGCACCUGGGACUCCGCCCCCCACCCCCAUAUGCUGACAAGACUAAAACUUUGUCCACAGGGGAGCUUCCUGGCAGUUGGGCUCAUCCCCACCUCGGGCAGGUGGGCUCUGGGCUGCAGCAGGGAGGCAUCCCCACCCCAUCCCACCUACUCAGCCUGCAUGGCCCCCUGGGCCGCCACAGGCCCAGCUCAGUCUCCUAAUGGCAAAUGUGUAGCCCUUUCCUGGUGACUGAGACAGAAGAUCCCUAAUUGUCAGCAGCUGAUCUCAAUUAAAAUAGAAACGCCUCCCGUGAUUUGCAGGUGGGAGCUGGAGUGGAGAGCUUGGGGAUGUUUACACAGACUUGGAAGGAUACUGCCCGAAAUGGGUCCACAGGAGUGAAAGCAAUUUAUCUCGAUGAGUUGGGCCCGUGGGUGAUUUAAUUAAGGCCAAACCAGCCCUGGGCUUUGGCCCUCCCUGCCGGGCGUUGCGGGAUGACGGUGCUGAGCCGGCCCUUCUUUUCUCCUCUCCAGGACAUGAAGGUAGGAACACAGUCUCGGCAAGUGCCGAUGUUCCCACUGCUUACCAGCUCGGGUUCCAGGACCUCGUACCUAGACUGCAUUCCAGGCAUAGCGGGGAACACGGGGACCCCUAGGAUGCUGCCCUGCGGAGGGUCAAGCAUGUAUGUACGGUAGCUGGCUUCCCCAGAGCAGUGCGUGGAGGGAGGGAAUGAGGUGGCCGUGAAGCUCAGGACAAGACGCUUCAUCAGGGCUGUGCUGUUCUUCCCUGCCUCCUGAUCGUAGAGAUACAUGCAUCACUCUGGGGCUGUGAGGAGGACAGAAGAGGUUGAGGACAAAGGUGGGAGCCCCACAGGAGGCCACUGCAACGGCCUGGGGAGGACAGCAGCUUGGACCAAGGUGGCCAUGACCAACACAGGUGGGUGAGAUUCUGAAUAUGCUCUGGAGAACCAGCAGAACAUGCUACUGGAUCAGAUUCACGGUAUAAAAGCCAGAAGGGGGCUCCUCUGGUGGCGCAGUGGUUGAGAGUCUGCCUGCCGUUGCAGGGGACAUGGGUUUGUGCCCCGGUCCGGGAAGAUCCCACAUGCCGCGGAGCGGCUGGGCCCGUGAGCCAUGGCCGCUGAGCCUGCGCGUCCGGAGCCUGUGCUCCGCAACGGGAGAGGCCACAACAGUGAGAGGCCCGCGUAUCGGAAAAAAAAAAAAAAAAAAAGCCAGAAGGGAAUCACUCGUGAGCUCUUUGGUCUCUGUCCUGAGAAACUGAGUGAAUAUGGCACCUUUUACUAAGAUGGGAAAAACUGAAAGAGAAGCAAGAUUUGGGGGUGGGAAAAGCAGAAAUUAAGAGUUUGUUUUGGGGAGUUCCCUGGCGGUCCAGUGGUUAGGACUCCACGUUUUCACUGACGAGGACCCGGGUUCAAUCCCUGGUCAGGGAACUAAGAUCCCGCCAGCUGCGUGGUGUGGCCAAAAAAAAAAAGUUUGUUUUCGAUGCAUUAAACCUGAGUUGCCCACUGGAGGCCAUGGAGGGCAGGCAGCUCAGUAAGUGGACUUCAAGG